rnacentral:tRNA from 1 species
GCCCCUGAAGCUCGAUGGACGAGCAGCGGUCUUCUAAACCGACGCAUGCGGGUUCGAGUCCCGCCGGGGGUG